rnacentral:rRNA from 1 species
UAGGGAAUCUUCCACAAUGGACGAAAGUCUGAUGGAGCAACGCCGCGUGAGUGAAGAAGGGUUCCGGCUCGUAAAACUCUGUUGUUAAAGAAGAACAUAUCUGAGAGUAACUGUUCAGGUAUUGACGGUAUUUAACCAGAAAGCCACGGCUAACUACGUGCCAA